rnacentral:rRNA from 1 species
UUCGGUGGUCAUAGCGUGAGGGAAACGCCCGGUUACAUUCCGAACCCGGAAGCUAAGCCUUUCAGCGCCGAUGGUACUGCAGAGGGGACUCUGUGGGAGAGUAGGACACCGCCGAAC